UACGGAGGGUGCAAGCGUUGCUCGGAAUUACUGGGCGUAAAGCGCGUGUAGGCGGUCUCGUGUGUCUGGCGUGAAAGCCCCGGGCUCACCCCGGGAAGUGCGUUGGAAACUGCGAGACUAGAGUUCCGGAGAGGAAGGUGGAAUUCCAGGUGUAGCGGUGAAAUGCGUAGAUAUCUGGAAGAACACCGGUGGCGAAGGAGGCCUUCUGGACGGUGAUUGACGCUGAGACGCGAAAGCGUGGGGAGCAAACAGG
rnacentral:rRNA from 1 species